UACGUAGGGUGCAAGCGUUAAUCGGAAUUACUGGGCGUAAAGCGUGCGCAGGCGGUGAUGUAAGACAGAUGUGAAAUCCCCGGGCUCAACCUGGGAACUGCAUUUGUGACUGCAUCGCUGGAGUACGGCAGAGGGGGAUGGAAUUCCGCGUGUAGCAGUGACAUGCGUAGAUAUGCGGAGGAACACCGAUGGCGAAGGCAAUCCCCUGGGCCUGUACUGACGCUCAUGGCACGAAAGCCGUGGGGA
rnacentral:rRNA from 1 species